rnacentral:lncRNA from 1 species
UGCAGUGUUCCACAUCUACCACCCUGUAAAGGUCACAGUGGGAGCCCAGCUUUGCUCUGUGCCUCCACCAACAGCUGAGCAAGGUUUUGGCUGGCCUCCCACCCUCUGCCCUUAGUCAUCCUGCAGUCUGGGGAUGCACGAUCUGGAUGGCAAAAGAGCGAGCUCAUGCUACUGAACCCUCCUUAUGAUGCAGCUCUUAUGCCUAAUUCAUCAGGCACCUUGGAGAGCCAUCAACUCAUCAACAGCCACAUGCAUAUGAGACAUGAACUCUGGACAGAAGUGAGCAGAUUUCAGUAAGGGAGCCUGGUGCCUGCUGAACACCCUUUUUUGCACCAGAAGAGUUGCCAAAAGAGGAAAGAACAUGAAAGACAUAGAGCAAAAGCAAUCCUGAUAGCAAGAAAU